CCUACGGGCGGCAGCAGUGAGGAAUAUUGGUCAAUGGCCGUAAGGCUGAACCAGCCAAGUAGCGUGAGGGAAGACUGCCCUAUGGGUUGUAAACCUCUUUUAUGCGGGGAUAAAGGUGUCCACGUGUGGAUGUUUGCAGGUACCGCAUGAAUAAGGACCGGCUAAUUCCGUGCCAGCAGCCGCGGUAAUACGGAAGGUCCGGGCGUUAUCCGGAUUUAUUGGGUUUAAAGGGAGCGUAGGCCGGUCUUUAAGCGUGCCGGGAAAUUUUGUGGCUCAACCAUGAGAGUGCGGCGCGAACUGGAGACCUUGAGUGCGCGGAAGGCAGGCGGAAUUCGUGGUGUAGCGGUGAAAUGCUUAGAUAUCACGAAGAACCCCGAUUGCGAAGGCAGCCUGCCGCAGCGUGACUGACGCUGAAGCUCGAAAGCGCGGGUAUCGAACAGGAUUAGAUACCCCAGUAGUC
rnacentral:rRNA from 1 species